rnacentral:rRNA from 1 species
CACGUAGGGUGCGAGCGUUGUCCGGAAUUAUUGGGCGUAAAGAGCUCGUAGGCGGUGUGUCGCGUCGGCCGUGAAAACCUGCAGCUUAACUGUGGGCUUGCGGUCGAUACGGGCAUCACUGGAGUUCGGCAGGGGAGACUGGAAUUCUCGGUGUAGCGGUGAAAUGCGUAGAUAUCGAGAGGAACACCUGCGGCGAAGGCGGGUUGCUGGGCUGACACUGACGCUGAGGCGCGAAAGCUAGGGGAGCGAACGGG